rnacentral:rRNA from 1 species
GACGAACGCUGGCGGCGCGCCUAACACAUGCAAGUCGAACGAGCGAGAGAGAGCUUGCUUUCUCGAGCGAGUGGCGAACGGGUGAGUAACGCGUGAGGAACCUGCCUCAAAGAGGGGGACAACAGUUGGAAACGACUGCUAAUACCGCAUAAGCCCACGGCUCGGCAUCGAGCAGAGGGAAAAGGAGUAAUCCGCUUUGAGAUGGCCUCGCGUCCGAUUAGCUAGUUGGUGAGGUAAUGGCCCACCAAGGCGACGAUCGGUAGCCGGACUGAGAGGUUGAACGGCCACAUUGGGACUGAGACACGGCCCAGACUCCUACGGGAGGCAGCAGUGGGGAAUAUUGCACAAUGGGGGAAACCCUGAUGCAGCGACGCCGCGUGAGCGAAGAAGUAUUUCGGUAUGUAAAGCUCUAUCAGCAGGGAAGAAGAAUGACGGUACCUGACUAAGAAGCAACCGGGCUAAAAUACGUGCCAGCAGCCGCGG